rnacentral:rRNA from 1 species
AUGGCCCGGACGACGUUUCCCUUGGCUAGGCUCCUCGCGGAGUGGCGACAUCCUUCGGCCCGGCUGCUCCCAGCGCUGCACCCCGAGGCGGCCGUGGACCACGGCCCCGGCGUGGCGGAGGAUGCACUCCGGGCCUGCAUCUUUUUCGAUGAGGCGGCCAGGCGCGUAAAGCACAGAGGCGGCAGCGGCCAACGGCCGGUGCCCGGCAUGGCAACGCCCGGCAGCAAACGCGGUGUCUCGCGGCUCCGCGGCGGCGGCCAUAGGCCGGCGUGCGGCAGCGCGGUCCUCAGCCCGGGCAGAGGCAGCCCACGAGGCGUAAAACGCGGCGGCGCAACCACCGGUCUGCCCGCACUGCACAGCGGCAGCAGUUACCAUGGCCACGACGCUCGCACGGGAUAA